UGAGGAAUCUUCCACAAUGGGCGAAAGCCUGAUGGAGCAACGCCGCGUGCAGGAUGAAGGCCUUCGGGUCGUAAACUGCUUUUAUAAGUGAAGAAUAUGACGGUAGCUUAUGAAUAAGCACCGGCUAACUACGUGCCAGCAGCCGCGGUCAUACGUAGGGUGCAAGCAUUAUCCGGAGUGACUGGGCGUAAAGAGUUGCGUAGGUGGUUUGUUAAGUGAAUAGUGAAAUCUGGUGGCUCAACCACACAGACUAUUAUUCAAACUGGCAAACUCGAGAAUAGCAGAGGUAACUGGAAUUUCUAGUGUAGGAGUGAAAUCCGUAGAUAUUAGAAGGAACACCAAUGGCGUAGGCAGGUUACUGGGCUAUUUCUGACACUAAGGCACGAAAGCGUGGGGAGCGAACC
rnacentral:rRNA from 1 species